rnacentral:rRNA from 1 species
GACGAACGCUGGCGGCGUGCUUAACACAUGCAAGUCGAACGGAAAGGCCCUGCUUUUGUGGGGUGCUCGAGUGGCGAACGGGUGAGUAACACGUGAGUAACCUGCCCUUGACUUUGGGAUAACUUCAGGAAACUGGGGCUAAUACCGGAUAUGAGCUCCUGCUGCAUGUUGGGGGUUGGAAAGUUUCGGCGGUUGGGGAUGGACUCGCGGCUUAUCAGCUUGUUGGUGGGGUAGUGGCUUACCAAGGUUUUGACGGGUAGCCGGCAUGAGAGGGGUACCGGCGACAUUGGGACUGAGAGACGCCCCAGAAGGCAAUGGGAGGCAGCAGGGGGGAAUAUUGCAGAAUGGGCGGAAGCCUGAUGCAGCAACGCCGCGUGCGGGAUGACGGCCUACGGGGUGUAAACCGAUUUCGCCUGUGACGAAGCGUGAGUGACGGUAAUGGGUAAAGAAGCAACGGCUAACUACGUG